GGUUGGCUAGCUCAGUUGGUUAGAGCGUCGAGCUAAUAACUCGAAGGUCAUGGGUUCGACCCCCCUGCUGACCA